UCAUGAGCGCCGCCGCAUAACUCCCAGACCCUGGUAGGGCUCCCUUUGAGAACUCAACUCCACCGUGCGCAGGCCCCACGAUGGGCGCCAACUGUCGUGGUUUUGUCACGGCAGAUGUCCUCGUGAAAGGACUUAGUACUGGAGCCAUCACACCUUGGUGGCGACUCAAAGGGGUUAAGCGGGAGAGACACGGCGAUUUACCCAGGUUCGGCCCCUCGAGAAGAGGUAAUAGCCUACGUCCUGCUUUGUGUGUAUUGAUGUGGAUUCGAUUAC
rnacentral:lncRNA from 1 species